AUGCAUGUCUAAGUAUAAGCAAUUAUACAGCGAAACUGCGAAUGGCUCAUUAUAUAAGUUAUCGUUUAUUUGAUAGUACCUUACUACUUGGAUAACCGUGGUAAUUCUAGAGCUAAUACAUGCUAAAAAUCCCGACUUCGGAAGGGAUGUAUUUAUUAGAUUAAAAACCAAUGCCCUUUGGGCUCCUUGGUGAUUCAUAAUAACUUUUCGAAUCGCAUGGCCUUGCGCCGGCGAUGGUUCAUUCAAAUUUCUUCCCUAUCAACUUUCGAUGUUUGGGUAUUGGCCAAACAUGGUCGCAACGGGUAACGGAGGGUUAGGGCUCGACCCCGGAGAAGGAGCCUGAGAAACGGCUACUACAUCCAAGGAAGGCAGCAGGCGCGCAAAUUACCCAAUCCCGAUUCGGGGAGGUAGUGACAAUAAAUACUGAUACAGGGCUCUUUUGGGUCUUGUAAUUGGAAUGAGUACAAUUUAAAUCCCUUAACGAGGAACAAUUGGAGGGCAAGUCUGGUGCCAGCAGCCGCGGUAAUUCCAGCUCCAAUAGCGUAUAUUAAAGUUGUUGUGGUUAAAAAGCUCGUAGUUGAACCUUGGGCCUGGCUGGCCGGUCCGCCUCACCGCGUGUACUGGUCCGGCCGGGCCUUUCCCUCUGUGGAACCUCAUGCCCUUCACUGGGUGUGGCGGGGAAACAGGACUUUUACUUUGAAAAAAUUAGAGUGCUCCAGGCAGGCCUAUGCUCGAAUACAUUAGCAUGGAAUAAUAAAAUAGGACGUGUGGUUCUAUUUUGUUGGUUUCUAGGACCGCCGUAAUGAUUAAUAGGGACAGUCGGGGGCAUCAGUAUUCAAUUGUCAGAGGUGAAAUUCUUGGAUUUAUUGAAGACUAACUACUGCGAAAGCAUUUGCCAAGGAUGUUUUCAUUAAUCAGGAACGAAAGUUAGGGGAUCGAAGACGAUCAGAUACCGUCGUAGUCUUAACCAUAAACUAUG
rnacentral:rRNA from 1 species